UACGUAGGUCCCGAGCGUUGUCCGGAUUCACUGGGUGUAAAGGGCGCGUAGGCGGUCAAGUGUGUCUCAUAUGAAAGCUCAGGGCUCAACUCUGAGAGUGCGUGGGAGACUACUUGGCUGGAGGACGGUAGAGGGAAGUGGAAUUCCCGGUGUAGCGGUAAAAUGCGUAGAUAUCGGGAGGAACACCAGUGGCGAAGGCGGCUUCCUGGGCCGAUCCUGACGCUGAGGCGCGAAAGCCAGGGGAGCGAACCGG
rnacentral:rRNA from 1 species